GUAGGUGGCAAGCGUUGUCCGGAAUUAUUGGGCGUAAAGCGCGCGCAGGCGGUUUUUUAAGUCUGAUGUGAAAGCCCACGGCUCAACCGUGGAGGGUCAUUGGAAACUGGGGAACUUGAGUACAGAAGAGGAAAGCGGAAUUCCACGUGUAGCGGUGAAAUGCGUAGAGAUGUGGAGGAACACCAGUGGCGAAGGCGGCUUUCUGGUCUGUAACUGACGCUGAGGCGCGAGAGCGUGGGGAGCAAACAGGGAUUAGAUACCCUGGUAGUCCACGCCGUAAACGAUGAGUGCUAAGUGUUAGGGGGUUUCCCGCCCCUUAGUGCUGCAGCUAACGCAUUAAGCACUCCGCCUGGGGAGUACGGCCGCAAGGCUG
rnacentral:rRNA from 1 species